rnacentral:rRNA from 1 species
UUGAACGCUGGCGGCAGGCCUAACACAUGCAAGUCGAACGGUAACAGGAAGAAGCUUGCUUCUUUGCUGACGAGUGGCGGACGGGUGAGUAAUGUCUGGGAAACUGCCUGAUGGAGGGGGAUAACUACUGGAAACGGUAGCUAAUACCGCAUAACGUCGCAAGACCAAAGAGGGGGACCUUCGGGCCUCUUGCCAUCGGAUGUGCCCAGAUGGGAUUAGCUAGUAGGUGGGGUAACGGCUCACCUAGGCGACGAUCCCUAGCUGGUCUGAGAGGAUGACCAGCCACACUGGAACUGAGACACGGUCCAGACUCCUACGGGAGGCAGCAGUGGGGAAUAUUGCACAAUGGGCGCAAGCCUGAUGCAGCCAUGCCGCGUGUAUGAAGAAGGCCUUCGGGUUGUAAAGUACUUUCAGCGGGGAGGAAGGGAGUAAAGUUAAUACCUUUGCUCAUUGACGUUACCCGCAGAAGAAGCACCGGCUAACUCCGUGCCAGCAGCCGCGGUAAUACGGAGGGUGCAAGCGUUAAUCGGAAUUACUGGGCGUAAAGCGCACGCAGGCGGUUUGUUAAGUCAGAUGUGAAAUCCCCGGGCUCAACCUGGGAACUGCAUCUGAUACUGGCAAGCUUGAGUCUCGUAGAGGGGGGUAGAAUUCCAGGUGUAGCGGUGAAAUGCGUAGAGAUCUGGAGGAAUACCGGUGGCGAAGGCGGCCCCCUGGACGAAGACUGACGCUCAGGUGCGAAAGCGUGGGGAGCAAACAGGAUUAGAUACCCUGGUAGUCCACGCCGUAAACGAUGUCGACUUGGAGGUUGUGCCCUUGAGGCGUGGCUUCCGGAGCUAACGCGUUAAGUCGACCGCCUGGGGAGUACGGCCGCAAGGUUAAAACUCAAAUGAAUUGACGGGGGCCCGCACAAGCGGUGGAGCAUGUGGUUUAAUUCGAUGCAACGCGAAGAACCUUACCUGGUCUUGACAUCCACGGAAGUUUUCAGAGAUGAGAAUGUGCCUUCGGGAACCGUGAGACAGGUGCUGCAUGGCUGUCGUCAGCUCGUGUUGUGAAAUGUUGGGUUAAGUCCCGCAACGAGCGCAACCCUUAUCCUUUGUUGCCAGCGGUCCGGCCGGGAACUCAAAGGAGACUGCCAGUGAUAAACUGGAGGAAGGUGGGGAUGACGUCAAAUCAUCAUGCCCUUUAUGUCCUGGGCUACACACGUACUACAAUGGCUAUAACAAAGGGAAGCGAUACCGCGAGGUGGAGCAAAACCCAAAAAAGUAGUCUCAGUUCGGAUUGAAGGCUGAAAUUCGCCUUCAUGAAGCCGGAAUUGCUAGUAAUGGCAGGUCAGCAUACUGCCGUGAAUACGUUCCCGGGCCUUGUACACACCGCCCGUCACACCAUGAGAGUUGGGGAUACCCGAAGCCUGUGAGCCAACAUAUCUAUGAGGCAGCAGUCGAAGGUAGAAUCAAUGAUUGGGGUG